rnacentral:misc_RNA from 1 species
AACGCACGAGACCUGCGGACCUGCGGAGGGAUCAUUAAUGAGAAGCUGCCCCUCGUGGGUAGACCUCCCACCCUCUGUGAACUUACCUUUGUUGCUUUGGCAGGCCCGUCCUCUGGACCGCCGGCUUCGGCUGGCCCGUGCCUGCCAGAGGAUUCCAAACCCUGUCUGUCAGUGUUGUCUGAGUCUAUAUGAAACCGUUAAAACUUUCAGCAAUGGAUCUCUAGAUCGGAAGAGCACACG